rnacentral:rRNA from 1 species
AUUGAACGCUGGCGGCAGGCCUAACACAUGCAAGUCGAGCGAGCGGCGGACGGGUGAGUAAUGCCUGGGCAUUCCCCAGUAGCGGUGGAUAACAGUUGGAAACGACGGAUAAUACCGCAUUCGGAUGGGUUGCCCAGGGGGGGUUAGCUAGGUGGUGGGCUAAUGGGUCACCAAGGCGAAGCCCCCUAGCUGGUCUGAGAGGACGAUCAGCCACACUGGAGCUGAGACACGGUCCAGACUCCUACGGGAGGCAGCAGUGGUGAAUAGUGCGCAAUGGGGGAAACCCUGAUGCAGCCAGGCCGCGUGUGUGAAGAAGGCCUUCGGGGUGUAAAGCACGUUCAGCGAGGAGGCGUUACUCGCAGAAGAAGCACCGGCUAACUCCGUGCCAGCAGCCGCGGUAAUUC